rnacentral:misc_RNA from 1 species
ACAGCUUAACUCCGUCAAGCCUGUAGGAGUCUUUUUGAAGGAAACGAGAGUUGUGGUUGGUUGUUGACCAAACAAAAGCAUGGGAGUUUUUGGGCGUAAAAGUUACUUUCUUCUUUAUACGAUAUUUAUAGUUAGAUGAAGACAGUCCUCCAAAACCCUAUAGAGGAAUGUCCCGAAAGCAUAUUAUAGUAUUCUCCCCAUCGCCCUUGACCCGGUUGGAAACUAGCACACUCAAAAAAGAUACUUCCCGCCGCUAGCUCACAGGGUUCUUUGUCUAAGAUGCAUACUUGCCAAGGGGACUUCUUUGCUUUCAAAGGUCAGGGACUACGGUAAUGGACCGGUUGCUGUUGUUCAUCAAGUCGAAUCGGAAGAAGUCAGAUUUAGUAUGAACCAACGAGCAUAAACGAAGAGUUCAAAAUUACAUUAUUGAGUUCUAACGCCUGAAAACCUCUCUUUUACAGUGUAAUCCCUAGGAGUUUAGCAUAAAUUCCCUCUUUCUUUCCUUCUUCAACAAUCCGAGAGGAUCUUGGACAAAGGAUUACCGGCUUCGCGAGACCUUUUCGAUCCACUCAUGGCUAAGCUCUAUGGGUCCUUGCUUUCUCGAUCAACUCACAAAGAUUUUAUAAGCGAAAGACAGUUCCUUGAAAUUCUUUUCUUUUCUUAUGUAAUUAUCACUUAUGUUAUAUAUAAUGUGGGUAGCUUAAAUAAUUAUUUUAGUUACGUGUAAUUUAUUUCAACUCCUUCCUUACGACUUCUAUGCGUGCGUCUCGAGAAUCUUUUAGGAGAGCUUCCAUAACUUGUGAGACUGUACUCAGUCUCUCUUAGUCUUUCUUAUUCUCAUUUACCUUCGCCUUCUUCUUAGCCUUUGGCUUCUUUUCUUCCUUCGACUCGCAUGUGCUAAGCAUAUUGCUAAAGUAGCUGUAUUUAGAAAGACUAGCUUCAUUCUUUGCUUUCAUAGUCCAUUUCUAAUCUUUAAGACCAGCCUCCAAGACUUGCUUUAGUCUCUGUUUGUGAUAAGCCCCUCCCUACAAGGGUUACUCGACUGGAAUUAGGAUAUGCUUGCUCAUACGUAACUAGAAAGCCGUAGGUCCUAUACCUAUAGAUCUCACGAUCAGAACUCAUUCGUUGUUAAAAGCAAAAGCUAAAGUCAAAGCUAUAGUUAAAAGCAAAAGCUAAAGCUCCUUUUCUUGUCCUAAGAAUUUCUCUACCGAGAAGCUGAUAACUAGUACCGUAUACCCUAGAAAACGACUUUACCCGGUCAUAAAGAGGCCUCUUGAGCUAAAUUCUCAUCAGAAAGAUUCUCUCAGUAAUCAUUCUCAAAAGGGUCUAUCAGUCUCUUAUUCUCAUACGAUAUUAGAAUACGAGCCUGUAGGAAUGAGAAAAAAGUAUGAUAUUAGAAUACGCUAAGCAUGAAAUGCUAUAGAGUCGGCAAAGCAUGUAAUGCCAAAUCAGCUAAGUCGGGUUUCCGCUGCUCAGAAGAGCUCUAUACUUAGCCCAAUUUGACUAGGUCAGAAGAAAGAAUCGUCGAAUUAGCGUAAGGUUUUGCGUAAGGUAAGAGAGAGGAAUAGAUCUUCUCUUACCAUAUUUGAUUUUGGUUGUUUUGUCUAAUCAUCAAAAAACAAGAGGUUA